rnacentral:rRNA from 1 species
GCACAAGUAGAGUGAUCGAAAGAUGAAAAGCACUUUGGAAAGAGAGUUAAACAGUACGUGAAAUUGUUGAAAGGGAAGCGCUUGCAACCAGACUUGCACGCAGUUGAUCAUCCGGUGUUCUCACCGGGGCACUCUGCUGCGUUCAGGCCAGCAUCGGUUCUGGUGGUUGGAUAAAGACCUUGGGAAUGUGGCUUCUUUCGGGGAGUGUUAUAGCCCUCGGUGCAAUGCAGCCUACCGGGACCGAGGACCGCGCUUCGGCUAGGAUGCUGGCGUAAUGGUUGUAAGCGGCCCGUCUUGAAACACGGACC